GAGGCAGUCCUAAGGCUGGAGCCUGGAUUGAAGCUUUCUUGAUGUUGUUGAAAGCUUUUUCCUGUUCAACUCCCCACAGGAGAGGUUCUUUUUCUCCCCACUUGGUGGCUUAAUACAAUGGUUUUGCCAUAAGUGAAAAGUUUGGUAUCUAAAUGUGGCACAACCCCGCUACCCCUAAGAAUUCUCUGAUCUGCUGACAUGUUACAAGAGAUGGAAGAGCACAAACAGUCUGUUUUCACUCACUGCCCAUUUCACAUUGCCCUUGAGUUACUAGAAACCUAGAUAUCUUGCUCCUUGUUCACAAAUCUGGGCCUUCGUCUGGGACACCUUAUAACCUGCUUUACAUAGUAGAUGCAGGAGGCCCUCAAUGCCCUGGUAGCAAUCUUCCUUAGUUGGGGCUGCAAACAAAAGAUCAUCUAUGUGCUGCAACAGGACACAUUUGUCAUUUGGUGAGACAAAAUCCUUGAGAUCAGACACUAAUGCCUCCUCAAAGAUAGGAGGGGAGUUUUUGAAAUCUUGUGGAAGUCGCCUCCAAGUAUACUGUGUUUCUCCCCAUCUGAAUGCAAAAAUAGAUUGGCUUACUGGAGUUAGCUUGAGGCAAAAGAAAGCAUCCUUUAAGUCUAAACAAGUAAACCAAGCAGCAUGAGCAGGUAUCUGACUCAUCAUUGUAUAUCGGUUGGGUACCAUGGCAUGCAAAGUAACAGUGACUUUAUUUAUGGCCCAUAGGUCUUGCACAUGUCUAAAUUCACCAGAUGGUUUCUGCACCAGUAAGAGAUGUGUGUUCUCUUACUGGUUGACUUACAGAGUGACUUACAUUUUCUUAUAAUUCCAUGUUCUAACAGCUGGCUCAUGUGUUUGUUCAUACCUCAUACUGCCUCUAUGGACACCUGGUACUGUGGAUCACACACUGGUGACACACCUGGAUUCAGCUCUACUACCACUGAUGCUUGGGGUAUAGCUAGUGCUGGUGGAUUGUCUUCUGCCACACUUCAGGUAUCUUCAGAACAAGCCUGUCCAUUAGUCUGCCCAUAAACUUGGACAGUUGAUAUGCUGCUUUCAUGUAUAGCCUGCAUUCCUCAGUUUUUGGCAAGGUAAGGGUUAAUGCCAUGGCUUUCAGAUGACUCAGAUCUACAGUCAUGUUUCCUUCUGACCUGAAAGAACUUUGAGCUUGGAGUUUCUGAAGUAUGUCCCUCCCUAACAGAGGCACCGGACAGUUUGGCAGAUACAGAAAUUCAUGCCAGACCUCCUGACCUCCAAUAACACACCUUCUGGACUGAAAGAAAGGCCUUUUUUCUGACACUCUGGUUGCCCCAACUAUAGUAGCAUAGUUUUUAGUAGUGGCCCCACUGGCCAUGUCAUCACUGAGUGCUCAGCACCAGUAUCUACAAUAAAGUCCAUCUGUUGGUCCCCUACCUCCAUAGAGACCAAGGGCUCCCGGAGGCCCAGAGAGAUGGAGCUUGGUCUGUCUCAGUCCUCAUAUUCUUCAAUUCCUGCCAAGCUGACCAAGUCAGCUUCUUGCUUCAAAAUGCAAUGGCUAGCAGCUGCUGGCCUUUGCCAUGUCUCAGGUCCUUGGCUGUUGCCUCCAUCCUUUUCUGUUUCUGUACAUUCAUCCUUCUAAUUCCCUUUCCUGUUUGCAUCUCACACACUGAUCCCUCUCAAGCCUAGCCAGCCCUCUUGCCCUGGCCUAGCUUGUCCUCUUCCACAACCAUGUCCACAACCAUUUCUACAUCCACAUCCUUUCACAAAUCCAGUCUCUCUUUCUACCACAGCAGCAGCCAACAAAUCAGCCUUUUUCUUAGCUUUGGCAUUGCCUGUUCCUUGGUUUCCUCCUCUCAAUUAACAAACACCAUGGUAGCCACUUGAAUAAGCUGGGUGAUAUUUAUAACUUCAAACCCUUCCAACUUCUGAAGCUUUUAUCUGAUACCACCUUGUGCCUGGCCCACAAAUGCCCUGUUAAUCAUGCACUGGUUCCCUACAGCCUCUAGGUCAAAUGGAGUGUGAAGGCAGUAUGCUUCACAGAGCCUUUCAUAAAAUUUACUGUGACUGUCAUCAGCCUUCUGGUGAACCUCUGAGACCUUUCCCAUAUUCAUUGUCUUUUUUCCUCCUGCCUUUAUUCCAUUAAGGAGUGCCUUUCAAUACCAUUGCAGGUUUUGUAACCCUUCUGCCUGGUUUUGUCUCUGGUGCAUACUGCUUGACAUUGUUUGUGCCUUCAGUUCAUUGCUUUCUAACAACUGGAGGGCCGCUUGUGCCACUCUACGACAUUCCCCCAUAUUGAAUAAUGUUAAAAGAAGUUGUUGACAAUCAGGCCAGGUAGGGUUAUGAGUCAGAAAGAUGGACCACAUCAAGUCUGUAAGGGCCUGGGGCUUCUCCGUAUAGGAGGGUGUAUUCUGUUUCCAGUUUAGGUCAGUGGUGAAGAAAGGCUAGUAAACAAAAAGACCCUGCCCUCCUCGGAUUUGACCUUGUUCAUCAUGAUAAAUAUAACCUUGUGUCUCCCCGAGAGGCAUCUGCAAAGCUUGGGUGCAGCCUGAUCUCAUUAUCCUGAGGUUCUUCCUUAGUCUUUACAGACAGGGGCUCUAACUCUUCCCUGCCAGGUGAAACCUUAAAUCACUCUCCUCUGAGCUUUAUUCCUCUAGGACCACUUGUUUGGCAUCCUGCCUUAGCCUUGCCAGAGAUGGAUAUAUUGGGACAUAGAGAGGUGGAAUUUUCCUCUCCUCAGGUCGGGCUUGCAAAACACGCUUUUUCUGUUCUCGUGGCUUUUUCUUUUUCUCUACAGUCUCCUUGGACUCUUUUACUGUGUGUAAUUUGGCACAGGUUACCGAGGUAUUACAGUAGUUUUCAAAACAGACUUGCAGAUACUUGGGGUGAUUUUGAAUGACCCUCAGCCAGGAGUCAACAUAUGGGAACUGAUCGGGGUGCCCAGAUUGUUCUCCGGUUCCAGUUACUACCCUAAACACAAGGCCAAUUAUCUCCCUAUCUAUCGUUCCUUCAGUCGGCCACCUGACAUUAAAAGAAGGCCAAUCCAUUUCACAGAGAGUUCUCAAUCUCUGAGAGUCAAUUUAACUUCAUUAAUUUCCAUUAAAACCUUUCUUGAAAUUUUUCAACAUAUACUCCAAUGGAGUAGCCUUCGAAGCAUUUCCUUCCAUCUCCAGCCUUGAGAGGCGCAUUUGCUGUCACUUUCACUCCUGGACUGACCAGACGGGGUCCUAUUACGGGAAGUUUGGGGGUUGCUUAGCCAGGAGAAUACCUUAAUCCUGUCACAGCCAGCUGCAGCCGUGAAACAGCUCCUAUUGGCUGUAUGCAAUGCCCUAGAUCUGGCUCGUCCCACACUCGCUUUGGAACACACAGUCUGUGCUAAGAGAUCUGUGUCUCCCCACGUCACAUCCCGCGUUGGCCUCUGCUCAGACCGUCUCUUUCACAUACUUUCACACACCUCCCCAUUUCCCGUACUGGCCUUUAGUUAAAGCAGCGAGCCCCCGCCACUUUCAGUUUCCUUGAAUCUCCUCUGUUCUCUCUCUUUCUUUAGUUAAAGCUGCGAGCCCCUCUUGCCACUUUCAUUUCCUUUUUCUGAUCGACCUAUAAGCCUCUCUCGCAUUCGAUGUCGGUUGGAGCAUGAGUUUCAUCUGAAUCAAGGGGCCUCUCUUGUUGUCCCCAGUCCCUCUGGGUCGGACUAGUUGUCUCACCCUGGGAGGUGAUCAGGCUCCCUGGGGAGGGGUCCUGCCUUAAGGCUUAGACCCUUACUGCAGUUCAUAUGUCUGCACAGAGCUCCUGACACUGUCCAGCAAUCUCCUUUGCCGGUUCUGUUGCGCUGUCAGGAAGGGCACCAGGACACAGGAGGACCAAUUCCCUUAUGGGCUGAAGUCCUCCCGUGGUGCCGAGGGGUUCAGGUCUCCCCUCUUCUGGGGCCUCAGUCCCACAGGCAAAGGAGACAGAAAUCUGCUGUCUCCAGUUCCCAGGUUUUGGCACCAGAUGAAGUGGGAUUUAAAGAAUCAGACCGGACAGAGUGCAGAAAAGUGCUUAAGGUGUACACCGGCCCAGCAGACAUGUGUCCUAAAGACUGAGCCCAGACAAAGAAAAUGAGUUAAUUUUGGUCUUCUAUAUACAACUUCUUAAAAUGGAAGUGUACAUUUUUGAAAUACAUUUUGUUUUCUCAUGUUUUAAUUUAAUGCCAUAAAUUUACCUGUCAGCACUGCUUUUACCUUCAUCUGAUAUGAAGUGUUGUAUUUUCAUGUUUAUCCAGCUCAGUGUAUUGUUUUAUUUUCCUUGACAAUUUUUUUUAAAUCCUCUCGUUAUUAAAGGAUUCUUGUUUGGCCCAAGGAUUAUCUUCCCAGUGGAGAUUUUCCUGUUUUUUUCUUUGUCUUACUGAUUUCUACUUUAGUUGUAUUGUGGUUGGGAAACACACUGGAUUAUUGUAAGUCUUUUAUGUCUGUUGAGUUUUCUUUUAUGGCACAGGAACCCUGAAAGCAAUGUGUAUUUGGCAUUGGGUGGAACGUUCCAUUAAUGUUGAUUCAGUUCUUUUUGUUGAUGGUGUUGCUGAGUCCUCUUCUUUGUUGGUUUUCUUUCUAGUUGUUCUGUAAAUUGAGAAAGGAUGUUGUCCUUUCCAACCGUAAUUGUAGAUUUGUCUUUUUCUUUUAUAUUUUUAGGUUUUACUUCACAUAUUUUCAGUUCUGUUUCUUGCUGCAUGGACAGUUCAGAUUGUGGUUUCUUCUCGGUUACUAGUUUCAUUUAUCAUUAUAUAAUAUCUUUUACAUCAUUGAAAAUUUUCUUUUCUCUAGUCUACUUUAUCUGGUGAAUAUGUCUAUCCACUCCUGCUUUCUUCUAAUGUCUGCAUGAUACAUUUUUCUUUUUUACUUUUGAACUUUUCAUCCUGUCUCUACUUUUAUGUGAAAGUGAGUUUCUUAUAGAUAGUAUACGUGUGGGGCAUGUUUUAAAAUUCACACUGCUAAUCUCCAUAUUUUUGUUGUAUUUACACUAUUUAGAAUAGUUUACUUUUUUUGUUGUUUUUUGUUGUUGUUGUUUUUUGAGACAGAGUCUUACUAUGUCGCCCAGGCGGGAGUGCAGUGGCACGAUCUUGGCUCACUGCAAACUCCACCUUCUGAGUUAAAAUGAUUUUCUUCCCUCAGCCUCCUGAGUAGCUGGGACUACAGGUGCAUGCCACCAUGCCUGGUGGUGCAUUUUUAUUUUAUUUUAUUUUAUUUUUAGUAGAGACAGAGUUUCACCAUGUUAGCCAGGAUGGUCUCGAUCUCCUGAUCUUGUGAUCCUCUCACCUCAGCCUCCCAGAGUGCUGGGAUUACAGGCAUGAGUGAACCAUCGCACCCAGCCUACAUUUAAUGUUAAUUUUUGAUAUGUUCAUGAGCUCUUCAUUUUCUGUUUGCUGGCUUUAUUUUGUUUUUUUUUUUUCUCUUGAGUUUUUUUUUGUCCUUUAUGUAGUUUAUUUGAAGAGAUUUGAGACAUUCAUUCUGAUGUAUUUAUCAUCUUUUUGAGUAUACCUAAAGAGGUAUAAAGAUGUGUCUUUUUAAAUUGUUUUUUGAGGUGUGAAAUUCUGUAAACAUAAUUUGUCAUAGUAUACUGACAUCUUUUUACCAGCUUCAGUGAAGUAUAUAAACCUGUAUACCUCCCAUUAUUCACUGUAUUAUUAGCUUUUUAUACUUGCCUUAUAUAUUUUCUCUACAUACAUUUAAGAUCACCUCAGACUGAGUUACAUGAUUUUUGUUACAGUUUUUAGUCCUAAAAUUUCCCUUUGUUUACUGAAACCUUUAAUUUUUAUGCUUUAUACUUUUUCAUUAGUUUUGAGCAUGUUCAUAAUUCUUCAUUUAAUUAUUUUUAUGACAAUUUAAAAAUAUUUCUCAGAUAAUCCUGAUAGUAUUGACAUUUCUGUGUUGACAUUUAUCAUGUUGUUUCAUUGAGGUGGAGACGUUCCUAUUUCUUGAUUUUUAUGAGUAAUCUUUAUUUGAAACUUGAAUAUUUGAGGGACUACUAGGAGACUCCAGACCUUAUUACAACCCUCAUUUGUAGCUGGCUUUGUGUGAUACCACCCUAACAGAGGAAAGGGGUGUGCAUGUCAAGUAGGGGCAGAAUUCCAAAUUCCCUUCUUCACUUCCUUUGACACACAAAGCAGGGUUUCCUGUUAUUGAUAAAUGAAUAUGCAGGUUUCAGCUUCACCCAAGGCCUUACGUGCAUCUCUCUGGCUAGGAGGGGAGGUGUGUCUUCUUACCACAUGUAAGAGUUGGAAACCCUAGCUCUCUAUUCCACCUUCUCUGAUUCUACUGUGUAGGAGCUCGGUCAGGGUGGUGGGAGAAAUUACAAGAGAAAAUUAUAGGAAAAAUACAAACCUUCUUAGAAGGCCAGAAGGUUUUGCAAAAGCUUUAGGAAAGAGAUAUGGCUGAAAGCAGCCUGAUCCUCUUACCUUGAGCUAAUAGUAAAAGGCAAAUAACAAGGGAAUGUAGAGGAGUUCAUCUAAAUAGCUUGUUUACUCAUGUUGUCCUAACACCAACCUUUGAUCAUUUGUGCACAAGACUGCUUUAUCUGGGAGGGUGACCGUGUUAAUUAUCUACAAGUGUGUUGACUCAAAGCCUCUGUCAUUAAAUCAGUGCUAAAUAAAUGCCUGUGGCACCAGCUUGUCAGGGCUGUGGCUGCUGACUCUUUAUAGCACUUUUCUCAACAUCUGUAGGUGGCUUAGUCCUCUAGCCUGCUCUUUCACUGGAUACCUGUGUCUGAGUGCAUUUGUUCAUCCAUCGUUUGGCCAGGGUCUGUGGGUCAGACCUGGCAGAUGGUACCCCAUGAGAGGAAUGCUGCAACGCAUCGUGACAGAACCCUCAAAAACGAAGGUGAAGAAGAAUGCACAGUCAGUAAGUCAGUAAGUCAUUGGUGCCCUCUCAGGAUUUCCAAGUUUGAAGGAAUUGUUCAGGCUAGGGUUUCAUCCUGGGACAACAGUUAUCAGUUCAACAGAAACAAUACAUAAAACUAUUGAAACAGCUGCUUAAAGCUAGUGGAGACUUGGUUUCACAGGCUAAAUUAAGAGACCUAAUGCCAACUGUUAUAUCCUAUAACCAAUUUCUCCUGAGAAAUAUCUUGGGUGCAUACUAACUUCUUCGUCAGUAAGACCUCAAGAGUUUAAAUUAAAUACUAGCAACUUACCUACCUUUAAUGAUUAUCAGAAAUUGCUAAGUGAUAUUAAUGGUCUUCGCCCCAUCUUCGGCAUAACAGGUGAUAAAUUACAGACGCUGUUUUCUAUCUUAAAAGGCAGUGCUGCCCUAGACUCUUCCAGUUAUUUAAAUCCUGCAGCACAAUGGGAAAUUGAAGAAGCAGAGCUAGCUAUUUCUCAAAGACAGCUAGCUCAUAUUGACCCAUGGUAUUCAAUGCAAUUAUUUAUUUUUCCCAUGAAACACUCCCCUAUAGGGUUAAUAGGACAGGUGGCCGCGGGGCUAUGCUUUCUAGAGUGGGUUUUUUGCUCACAUUACUGGGACUAAAACACUUUCUCCCUAUAUCCAAUUAGUCAGUAAAGUCAUCUAUUCAGGCCAUAGAUGAUGCAAUCAGUUUCUAGGUUAUGACUGUUAAUAUCAACAGGAUUCCUUUAAGUAAAUAGCAAUUUGAAGAAAUAUUGCCAUUAUCUAUAGACCUGAAAAUAGCUCUCUCAUUACUCAGGCCAUAUAGAACAUGCACUUCCUUCUGACAAGCUUCUUCAGUUCUUAUCUCAUACUUGUGUGGUUUUGCCUACAAAAAUAUUUCAAUCCCCCAUACUUAAUGCUUUAACAGUCUUUAGUGAUGGCUCUGGUAACCAUGGAAAAGAGGCUGUCUAGUGGAGACCACAUAAUUCCCUCACUCAUUUUGGAUUUACUAGCACUUAGAGAGCGGAGAUUGGAGCCUUAAUAUUGGCUCUCGAGCCUUUUUCCAUUCAGCCCAUCAAUAUUGUUAGUGACUCUUCUUACUCUGUUAAUUUAUUGCAGAACCUUGAGACAGCCCUCAUUAAGUCCACUCUGGAGCCCACCCUGUAUGCACAUUUUUUUCUAACUUCAACAAUUACUAGAUCAACGUACACAUCCUAUUUUUGUUACACACAUUCGGGCCCACAACUCACUGCCUGGCUCAUUGGCUUAUGGCAAUGAUCAAGCACACCUACGGGUUCAUCUAAGCAAUUUUAACUUACCCAGAGACUAGCUAAAUCAAUUAUCCUUCAAUGCCCAGAUUGCCAGCUCACAGGCACAUCCCCUCCUUCAACAGGUGUUAACCCUAGUGGACUAGAACCUAAUCAGUUAUGGCAAACAGUUGUUACACAUGUCCCUGAAUUUGGAAAACUUUUAUAUGUACAUGUAUCUGUUGAUACCAACUCUCAUUUAAUUAGCACUCAUGCUCUUCCUGGAAAGUCCACCCAUUAUUUCAUUAAACAUCUUUUAACUUUUGCAUUUAUGGGGCAACCCACAAAAAUUAAAACUGAUAAUAGUCUGGCUUAUGCCAGCUCACAAUUUCAACAAUUUUGUCACACAUGAAACAUCCAACAUUCCACAGGCAUCCUGUAUAACUCCCAAGGACAGGCCAUAGUAGAACGUGCCAACUUCACCCUUAAAAAUAUGCUCAAAAAACAAAAAAGGGGGAAUACGAGUAAGGACCCUGCAACACUACUGGCACAAGCCUUACUCUUAAUUUUUUUAAAUUUAGAUGAUAAAUUUCAAUCAGCUGUAGAAAAGCACUUUCCUAAACCCUCUCAACACAUAAAACCUGCAGUUUUAUGGAAAGAUGUAAACAGUAAUGUAUGGUGUUGUCUAAAUGAAUUGUUAAUGUGGAGGAAAGGAUAUGCUUGUGUUCACACCCUCACAGGUCCAUCUUUGGAUUCCAGCAUGAUGCAUCAAACCCUACCAUGGGGUGACUAGGACCCAAGCCAGAAAUAAAGAAAAUGACCCUACAGGACCCACAGCUGCGGUGAUGCAGCUUCUGUGGAUGACACAAGCCCUGGAGGAUGCUGAAGAGGACCACUCAGGAGGCUGAGCGAAUCUUGCUCUGGACACAGACACCAUUUACUCCAUGAUGCAAAGCCGGAAUAUGAGCAGUGACUGCCACCCCUGACAGACCUGUUGCUACACACAUCUGUACUCUUCAAUCAACAAAAUCUGAUGCAAAAAACAGAAACGCGGGAGAUGUAGCAAUUUGUUCAGGGUGGUGGGAGAAAUUAUAAGAGGAAAUUAUAUGAAAAACACAAACUUUCUUGGAAGGACAGGUUUUUUUUUUGUUUUUGUUUUUGGUUUUUUUUUUGAGACAGAGUCUCGCUCUUUCACCCAGGCUGGAGUGCAGUGGCGUGAUCUCUGCUCACUGCAAGCUCCGCCUCCCGGGUUCACACCAUUCUCCUGCCUCAGCCUCCCAAGUAGCUGGGAUUACAGGUGCCCGCCACCACGCCCGGCUAAUUUUUUGUAUUUUCAGUAGAGACGGGGUUUCACCGUGUUAGCCAGGAUGGUCUCAAUCUCCUGACCUCGUGAUCCACCUGCCUCGGCCUCCCAAAGUGCUGGGAUUACAGACGUGAGCCACCGCGCCCGGCCGGAAGGACAGGUUUUGAAAAAGCUUUAGGAAAGGUUUAUGGCUGAAGGCAGCCUGAUCCUCUUACCUUGAGCUAAUAGUAAAAAGUAAAUAACAUCAGGAGGCCAAGGCAGGCGGAUCACGAGUUCAAGAGUUUGGGACUAUUCUGGCCAACAUGGUGAAACCCCAUGUCUACUACAAAUGCAAAAAUUACCUGGGUGUGGUGGUGGGCAUCUGUAAUCCCAGCUACUCAGGAGGCUGAGGCAGGAGAAUCACUGAAACUCAGGAAGAGGAUGUUGCAGUGAGCUGAGAUCAUGCAACUGCACUCCAGCCUGGCAAUAGAGCAAGACUGUCAAAAAAACAAAAAAGCAAAUAACAAGGGAAUGUAGAGGAGUUAUAGCUUGUUUACUUAUGUUGUCCUAAAACUGACUUUGAUCAUUUGCAUGCAAGACUGCUUUCUUUGUGGAGGGCGACCAAGUUAAUUACCCACAAGUGUGUUGACUCAAAGCCUUUGUUAUUAAAUCUGUGCUGAAUAAAUGACUGUAGCACCAGCAUGUCAGGGCUGUGGCUGCUGACUAUGGCACCCUCCUUAGUGUCUGUAGACAGCCCAGUCCCUUAGCCCACUCUUUCACUGGGUACCUGUGUCUGAGUGCAUUUGUUCAUCUAUUGUUUGGCCAGGGUCUGUGGGUCAGACCCAGCAUUACUCCAGCAGAGGAUUGGGAUGUUUCAUUAUUGCCUGGUGCAAUGGAUAUUCACACCUGGACUUUGUUGGCUUGGGUAGGUUUUUUGUUUUGCUUUGUUUUGUGUUGUGUUCUUUGGCUAAAGUAGUGUGACUAUUGCAUAAAAGAGUUUUGUCUUAGUAUGGU